rnacentral:lncRNA from 1 species
GCUAGAGGAGGAAGAGGGGCUGCUGGAGAGAGAGAGCGCGCCAGGUUCAGGUCCAGGGAGGAGAGAGAGCGAGCGCGCGAGGCGGAGACCUGGAGGGAGAGGAGCUGCGGAGAGGGGUUAGGCGGGGAGGGAGAGAGAGAACCAGGUUCCGGUCCAGGGAGGAGAGAGACAGCGCGCGCGAGGCGGAGACCUGGAGGAGAGGAGCUGCGGAGAGGGGUUAGGCGGGGAGAGAGAGAGAGCGAGCCAGGUUCAGGUCCAGGGAGGAGAGAGACAGCGCGCGCGAGGCGGAGACCUGGAGGGAGAGGAGCUGCGGAGAGGGGUUAGGCGGGGAGGGAGAGAGAGAACCAGGUUCAGGUCCAGGGAGGAGAGAGACAGCGCGCGCGAGGCGGAGACCUGGAGGAGAGGAGCUGCGGAGAGGGGUUAGGCGGGGAGAGAGAGAGAGCGAGCCAGGUUCAGGUCCAGGGAGGAGAGAGACAGCGCGCGCGAGGCGGAGACCUGGAGGGAGAGGAGCUGCGGAGAGGGGUUAGGCGGGGAGGGAGAGAGCCAGGUUCAGGUCCAGGGAGGAGAGAGACAGCGCGCGCGAGGCGGAGACCUGGAGGGAGAGGAGCUGCGGAGAGGGGUUAGGCGGGGAGAGAGAGAGCGAGCCAGGUUCAGGUCCAGGGAGGAGAGAGACAGCGCGCGCGAGGCGGAGACCUGGAGGGAGAGGAGCUGCGGAGAGGGGUUAGGCGGGGAGGGAGAGAGACAGCGCGCGCGAGGCGGAGACCUGGAGGGAGAGGAGCUGCGGAGAGGGGUUAGGCGGCGGGAGGCCCGGGAGCGUUACAUGUGUGUGGACUCGGGGAGGGCGGCGGGGGGCCGCUCCUCGGGGCCGUCUGCCUGCAGGAAGGAGUCCACGGACUUGCUGCUGAGGCGGAAGGGCAUCAGGCGGCAGAAGGUGCCGGGAGAGUAGGGAAUCUGCGUGCGGGCCCUCUGCGAGGGGACCACCGUCUCCCCGGGAGACAGCCAGGGCGGCAGCCUGGCCAGGAGGCUGCGGUCCAGGGCCUCGUCCGGAGAAAACACAGGGUUGUCAAUUCCUAGGAGAGAGGGCAGCGGCUAGUCAGCCUUCGGAGAGCCCCACGGCGGCAGGGGAGACCUCGCCGGGGCCGUCACCUGCUGGGUGCCUUGGAAAGUUAGGGUCACCGGGAAGGUUAGGGUCACGUGCCUUUCAGGUUGCGGGCCCUUCCCCCACAUCCAUGACCCCACACGCCACAGGCAGCACAGGUAACGUCUCGCUUCCCUCAAGACAUACCCCACCUGCUCCCUGCCCGGCCCACGUCUCCCCGGACAGCAGCCUCCGAGUUGGUUGAGGGGGCACUCAGUGGGUGCCAAGCAGGGCCCUUGAGAACCCACAGGAGACCCCACCCCCCCAGGUCCCAGUGCCCCUGGUCCAAUGACCGAGCUCCCUCCUGGGGCGGCAGGAGCCACCCCUCCCUUAGCCACGACGCCUGUGCCCCGUCCCCACCUGCAGGGGAGUCGGACGCUGUGUCCUUGGUGACACUAGCCAGGAACUCGAUCCCCCCACUCAUCUCCUCAUCAUAGUUGGGGGGCUCCUCGGUGUCUGAAAGUUCCAAGUCUGGGGAAGACAGGUUGGGGUGAGGACUGGGGUCACUGGGGGGCUGUCCUCACAGCCCAGUCAGCAGUGUCCAUCAGCUCUGUGCACAGAGGUGCAGGCAGUCGGGACCCACAGAGAGGAGGGCUAAACCGCAGGGCUGGAGGAGGGACCCCACUUAGAGGGCAGUGUCCCUGGAACCCCAUCCUGGGUGGGUCUGCAGCUGGGGCCCUGACCAUGCCUCCCCUGCCUGGGUGGCUGGAGGGUCCCCAGAGGGGAAGGUCCUGAGAGGGGAGGUUCCCGAGCCGGGAGGGCUGGGGCUGGGAGGUGGUGGCUCCCAGUCCCAGCGUUCCUGCAGGGCCCCCAGCGCACCUUUCUCCUUGAUGGUGAAAUUCUGCGCAGGGCUCUCCAUGGGCAGCUUCCCAUUGGGGAUGCUGCUGUUUCUCUGCGGAGCAAACGUGAAGCUGCUCACACCCCGACACAGCCACACCCAGCCCUGACUGCCCCCGCUCCAGGCCCCAGCCCCGCCAAGCCUCCUGGUGACCCAGCCUUACCCGCUUCUGGGCACGCUCCCGCUUGUACAGCUUGGCCGCCUUCUUGUUCUGGUUGAGCCCCAGCUUGGUCGACUUGAAGGACUCCAGGCGCUUCCGCAUGGUCCUGUGGAAGAUUUCCCGGUCCUGUUUCUCGUCCUCCGUGGGCGUGAGCUCGUGUCGGCUGUACAGAUGCUUGUACUGCGGGAUCAGGCACGGAGGUCACAGCUGUGCCCACCGCCGGACAUUCUCGCCCUCCUGCCGCAGGAGCUGAGCACGGAUCCCCCGUGGUCCCAGGAGGGGACGAGGAAGCCGCCCCACGGGGUCCCUGCGGGGUCCUCCAGCCCCCAGCCCGCAGUGCCCACCUCCUGCCGCGGCUUGUACAGGUACUGCUGUAGCGUGUGGUGCGUGACCAUGUCCUCCGCGUCCCGGAUGCUCCGCCGUCGCUGCUCCAGAGACUGCAUGUCCAGGCAGACAGCGCUGACAUUUUCUCUCCUGCGUGGGGACCAGCGCUGAGCCAUACAGGCUCCCUCAGGGUGGGGUCUCUUGCGCGCCCCUCGCCUUCCCACGGCGGGCAUCUGGCCCUGGCUGCCUCCUGCGUGCCCCUCGCCUUCCCAUGGUGGGCACCCGGCUGGGGCACGGGGACAUCUGCCAUCUGGCCAGCCCCUUCUCCCCUCGGGGCUUAGGCUGACUCCCCACGAGGCCUUCCUGGCCUCCUGUCUGAAGUGGGUCCCUUUCCUUACUGGUCCCUCUCCAAAGCCCUGGCUGUAAGACUCGGGGACCCCAGCAUCUGCACAUCUGGCAGAGUGGACCUCCUAUGAGAACUGGCUGUGAGCUGUGGAGCCCAGGGCCGGAGGAGCAGUAAGGGUGGCAUGGGGACCAGGACAGGCUGCUGCGGGCCAGGGGCAAACACGUCAGGCCUGGCCCCCAGUCCGCUGCUGCCCCUCCCUUUCACCUUCCAUCCAGCACUAAGGGAGUCUGGCCACGGCCUAAUAUAGGAGGGCUUGUGGAAGGAGACACCCACCCCCUCUUUCUGCACCUCUCCCCUCUUCCAUGCCACCCCCAGGCCAGGAGCCACCACAGCCCUGUCUGUGACUCUCAGCUCCCGAGGCUGGGCUCUUCCCCAGGGAAGCUGCAUGACCAUGGCCACAUACAGGAGGAGACCCUAAAACUCCAUUGGCCUCAUGUCCAGAACUGAAUCAGCCAGUGCCAGAGCCUGCUGCAGCCCCGACCCGGCAGAGCAAGCGGCUCUGCUACCUCAGCCACGUAGCUGAUGGCAUCCUUCAGGUUCAGCUCGUGGAAGACAUUCAGGAUCCGGUCUCGAGACUUCUGGGCCGACCGUCUCAUGAGGACCCUGCUGAGGAACUUCCUGUCGAAGUGGGACCACCUGUAGGGACAGACCUUGGGUGUGAGCCUCAGGUGACAGGCGCCCUAGAGCCCGCCGGACGCGUGGCCCGGCCCCUUCUCUCCUGAAUUUUGUUUGCUAUAGUGACCCUGUAGGCGCGUUUAAAAUGAGGGAAGCAGCCCCUGCCACACGCCCAGGCCGUCCGCCGUUCUCCCGCCUGUCCUGUUGGAUGGAGGCCGUUAGACGCAUAUGAAACUGCAUGCCGCCUCCUCCAGAGGGUGGCUCAGGACACGCCUAACGGAAUUAGAGUAUUCGCUGGUUAUCCAGAUCAGAAGGGACGGUGGCCUGGCCGGACUUAGAGGAAACUCUGGGGCACAAGGAGGUGAUGCCUGUCACUUGGACAUGGGUGCAGCCGCCAGAGCCGCCCUCCAGGGCACAGGGUGGGCCCGGGUGAGCUUGUGUGCUCACACCUGGGCAGGCCCCGCGGCAGCAAUGGCAGCUCUCCUGUACAGGCUGAGUUUCAGCCACACCAAGAAGUCAAAGCUAACCGAGGCUGUGCCUUCCGAGACCCCCGGGAUGGCCCCUGGGAGGCCAAGGAGUCGGGGACUGGGUACCCGGAGCAGAGUCACUGUGGCCACGGAGAACCGCAGCUGAGCUUUAUGAAGCCACGUGGCCACACCUCCCGGUGCCUCCACCCCAAGCAAACACAGAUCGCUCAGAAAAUGGGAACCCAGGGCAAAUUGUAUGUGCUCCUUACUGGGUUUAUUAUAAGUGUCACAUGUUUUUUAUAAUAAAACAUAGGUGAUUUCACCUUAAUGGACAAACUCUUUUUUUUAUUUUGGGACGAAGUCUCGCUCUGUCACCAGGCUGGAAUGUAAUGGCGCAAUCUCGGCUCACCGCAGCCUCCACCUCCCGGGUUCAAGCGAUUCUUGUGCCUUAGCCUCCUGAGUAGCUGGGAUUACAGGCCCACGCCACCACCCC